UGGAAAAGUACUCACAAGCCUUUCUUCAGAGGCUGCUGCCUCAUACCCAGGUGGGAUGCAGAAGUCAGCAAAGUGUGAAACUAAGUUAACUUUGUGGUGCUCCAGACACAUGCCUUGAGGGACACCAUACACACCACCACCUCAGUGACUCAUUCCCCGCCAGUUCCUGGACCACAUGGAAAGCUGGGAAGAGGCAAUGUGAAGAGCUGCAUAGACAAAGUACUGCAUGAGUAUUUCCAGUCCUUGUGGCCCUGCUCCUGGAAGGUGUUGUUCAUCAUUGCUCCACGUCAAGGACAGCCUGUAGUCAUCAAUGCUUGUAAAGCACUGUGUGAUUUCUUGCCUGGGUAAGGGGGUCUUUUCUAAGUUAAUCUCUGUUCACUGACAUACCCAACUGCAAUUACUGAUGCUCAGGUAACUACUAAUUUAGGGUUUUGGGGGUCUUUACCUCUCUAGCAGUGCAAUCUCACUCCACUGUUGACAAGCUCUUGAAGCAGGCAGUAUUGCUUAUGAUUGUUUUGAAAGGUGAUGGCUGGGAAAUAUUCUUCAGACUGCAGCAUGGAGUGGGAAGGAGUGAGGAGGUGGAAGAGCUUCCUCCUGCUGCACAGGGAGCAGAUACAGAAAUCCUUUAGGGGAGAUAUAUUUGGGGGAUUUACACUUCCAGGAGGCAAUGAAAACAAGUUAUACGAAGGCAGUAUAUUGAGAAAUGACAGUAAGAUGCAAUAAUAACCAUUUACUACUGAUUAUGACAUUAUAAUAUCAUUCUCAUUUUCCUGUAAGACACCUUCAAGAAAUAGAAAAUAGCUGGUUUGAGCUAGAGGUAGCUACUUAGAGUCAUAGGUAGCACUGAAAACCCUCAUAAAAUUUCUGUCAAUGAAAAGGUGCUCCUAACAGCAUAUUUCUUACAUGUUUGCUCAUGCAAAUUGUAAUUUCUUAAGACAACUUUUUAAUUAAGGUAACAGUUAAGGCAUGCGAAUUCUGCUGAAGUGCCAGUGAAAUUAAGUUAACUCUUGUUUGCACCACCACUUUAUCACCAACUGAGGCUGCUGCCCAGAUGUAGUAAUAGAAACACAAAGUAGGAGACCAUCUCUACCCUGAAGAGCUUACAUUUUCAAAGGACAAGAGGAACAAAGACAUUGAUGCUUUGUUUUCCUUAUCCUAUUGUUUUAGUUCUGCUCUUAUUUUUCUGUAAUUAACCUAUUUCCUCCUAUUUAAAUGCUUACUGUACUCCAAAGAGGAGUUGUCCAUGCCAGCACUCACCCAAACUAUUCGAGUUGGUUCUUUAAUUUAUUGUAGUUUAUAAGUUAUCACCAGAGAGUGUUUUUAUUGAGGAGAUAAAGCUGAGUAAAUUCAAAAAUGCUUCUAAACAAUGUUGGUCAUGUUUACGUGCUUAUGAUAAUCCAUAAAUGGAAUAAUGACUGAAAAAGAAAAUAAUCUCCUAUACUGACUAUAAACCCUGUUCCAAGUUAUAGGUUAUAAAAUAAGGAGCAAUUAGCAAUGAAAGAACAAGCUACAAAGUAAUCAUUGCUCCCCGCCCCCCCCCCCC